AUAAAUGGCCUAAACACCUGAAAGGUACUAGACCCCAUCUGACCUUGGAAGCUAAGCAGGAUUACCUGUGGUUAGUACUUGGAUAGCAGACCGCCAUGAAUUCCAGGUGCUGUGGGUU
rnacentral:rRNA from 11 species